CUAUUUCACACAUUGUUGGGCUCUUAAUUGGCUGUAACCACUUAGUGAAAGAUUCUUGCUGUCACUCUGAAUGAGUUCUGGAAAGUCUGUACUGCAUAUAAAUCCAUGAUCACAGAGCACAGAAUAAUAUAGGAUUUCUAUAGGGUCUUGAUAUUUCCAGAAACGUGGCAACUGCUGCUUAGUCUCUAAACAGAGAUCACAAGAAUUUAGUGGAAGUUUUUUGUGUAUUGAGAGCCUGGGAAAACCGAUUUGUGAGAAGAAAUGAAACGAAUUUGAGUUUAGCGAGGAGAUGAACUGUGUGCUUCACUGUUUUAUUUCAUCUACCAUUUAAGGCAGCAUACUUAGAUUUUUUUCAUGGUCUGAAGAUGAAGGGAAAUUUUGUGCAACUGAAAGGAACAACAGACAUUAAACUACUACGUUAUUUUUACAUGCUUAUCGUUCAGAAAUGAUUGGUAAUACCAAGACUUGAGGCUACAAUGAAAUGGAGAGUUAGACAAAUAAAAUGGGAUAGACAGGUGGAUUUUAAGUACUUCUGUACAAAACUCCCCCAGCCUUAACUUUGGAGCUCCAGCUGGGUUCUAGCCGCUGAUAAUCCAAUUCUAGAAGGCUUUAAAAGCUGUAUUUCCUAACUCUUCUCCAUCUCUGUCUAGAAAUAAGAUUUACUACAAAGAAUUUUAGCCCCGGGGGUCUUAGUAGUGAAGGCUACAUGGUUCCAGAUCAUGUUACUGGGACCCUAAUGUUGAAAAUUGGGCUUCCAGUCCUGCUCUCAGCUUUGUUGGUAGAAAUCUUAUAAACCAGUUUUUAAAUGCAGAAGUAAUAGGAGCAGAAAGGCAUACACAGAAGAAUCAAUCUGGUGAUAAAAGCAUUUUCAUUGUACUUAUGUUUUGAAUUCCAACUAAACAGGCUUAAUCUGAUUUCUCAUGAUUUCUGGCAUAAACUUCAAGGCAUUAUUAAACUAUCAUAAAACAGGUAAUGCCACAGAUAACAUUAUUUCAUUUUUUUUCAAAGGUUAAACGUAGGCUUUUCAGAUGUGGACAGAUACACCAGACGUGUGCUUGUGAUGCUCAUUACCCUUCCUGGGUUCUGGAAAAGGCCAGAUCUAUGAUAGCAGUCGGACUUGGCAUUGCAACCGUUGCAUUUGCAGUCUUUUCCAGGCCGUUAUGCAUUUCACCUUUGGAAGCCAUUGGAGCAAGCAAUUACAGAGACAGCAAGGAAGAUUUCAACGUCUGUAAGUUUAGAGGUUACUUUGUACUAGCUAAAUCAUUUUUUAAAUUCUAAGUAUUUUGAAAGGAGCCAUUUUAUGUUUGAAAAUAGUAAGUGCCAGCUAGAUUUUUUUUUUUUCUCCCUGGGGUAAGGGUGCUCCUUACUCUGUAUGUUCUAGCAUUUUAUUUAGUAUAUUAUAAGUCUCUGUAAAUGAAACUGUAUCAAAAAAUGUUUGUGAGAUUUCAUAAGCAUUUCUAAUUUUCCUGGUGACAUUCUGUUUUUCAGAAGUUUUUACUUGUAAGUCUUACAAGAAAUUGUUGAAGUGGGUUGUAGGAAGAUAGCUAAAUCCUAGCAAUUACAAAGCAAUGACCUGCAGUUUCAUUUUAAGAAGCUAAAAAGGAACAAAUUCAGUCAUUUUUCUUACAGAUAAACUUCCA
rnacentral:lncRNA from 1 species